rnacentral:rRNA from 1 species
CCUACGGGAGGCAGCAGUGGGGAAUAUUGCACAAUGGGCGAAAGCCUGAUGCAGCGACGCCGCGUGAGGGAUGACGGCCUUCGGGUUGUAAACCUCUUUCAGCAGGGAAGAAGCGAAAGUGACGGUACCUGCAGAAGAAGCGCCGGCUAACUACGUGCCAGCAGCCGCGGUAAUACGUAGGGCGCAAGCGUUGUCCGGAAUUAUUGGGCGUAAAGAGCUCGUAGGCGGCUUGUCACGUCGGAUGUGAAAGCCCGAGGCUUAACCUCGGGUCUGCAUUCGAUACGGGCUAGCUAGAGUGUGGUAGGGGAGAUCGGAAUUCCUGGUGUAGCGGUGAAAUGCGCAGAUAUCAGGAGGAACACCGGUGGCGAAGGCGGAUCUCUGGGCCAUUACUGACGCUGAGGAGCGAAAGCGUGGGGAGCGAACAGGAUUAGAUACCCUGGUAGUCCACGCCGUAAACGUUGGGAACUAGGUGUUGGCGACAUUCCACGUCGUCGGUGCCGCAGCUAACGCAUUAAGUUCCCCGCCUGGGGAGUACGGCCGCAAGGCUAAAACUCAAAUGAAUUGACGG